rnacentral:rRNA from 1 species
UGGUGGAGUGAUUUGUCUGGUUAAUUCCGUUAACGAACGAGACCUUAACCUGCUAAAUAGUUACGUUAACUUUGGUUGACGGCUAACUUCUUAGAGGGACUAUUGAUGUUUAAUCAAUGGAAGUUUGAGGCAAUAACA